CUGAAAGCAACCCCAUCCCGCACUGUGGUCCCCAUGUGUCACCGCUGACGCCUGCCACUAGCUCUGCUGCACUCAUCUCCUUGGCUGCAUCAUGGAGGAUGCUCAGCCGCUGCCAUCCUGCUGUCACUCUCACACAGUUUGGCACACAAACAGCCAAAGGCUGAGGAGAUGUGCAACGAGUAGUCAACCUUGCCGUUCCCUUUCUCAAUACUUUAAGAAGAGAUGAUAAGCCACCAGCUGGCAGGUGGCUGCCAGUGUGUGGAGCCUUGCACAGUUCUUCUGGUAGUUGAAACACAGAAGGCAAUAUGCUCUCCACCAGAGAACAUCAGCUGGUGAUGUGUGAUGCUUUUUCUCAGAUAGGGGAUGGAUGUGAGAUGCUCCUGAUGCUGCCAGCACUUCUGAGACAGCAGGAUGUAUCAGCUUGGCUACUGCUUGACUUGCUCUGGGAAUCACACUUCAGCAUCAUAGCCCUGUACCUUCAGUCAGCAACCCAAGAACUGCAGUGAAGGCUGAGUAGGCACCUCCCCAGGACUCCCUGGGCUUCUCCUAGGGCUGUCCCUAGAGUGGCUCUUUACCCUUGGCUUUGUUUGGCAUCCCCAGCCCUUUCCUAUAACAGCAGCUGCUGAAAGUGUGAAUUUCCAUGCCUGAGGACUGCUCACUGGAGCAUGUGCAGUCCAAGAACCAGUGGAAAAGCACCAGGUCCCAUCCCUUGCUGUAGCUGCAAAACCUGCCUCAUUCUCAUUGCAGAAGAGUCUCACUGUGGGAAUCUGCAGCUCUCCCAUGCCUCCUGGUUAGUAGAGCUGUGGGGCUGUGAGGAUCCCUUGGCUUUCACCUGCAUGCACAUGGGCAGGUUUUGUUCCUAUCUGUGCUAGUUCUGCUUUUGGACAGGCCAAGGGCUGUCUGAUGAGCUGUUCGGGUGUUUGAGUCCAGAGCCUCGUCCAGGGCUACAACUGUCCCAGGUCUGAGCUGCUUUGGAGACAUCUGCCCUCCAGGGAUGAGAAGAGGUUCCCAGGCCUGCUGAGAAGAAAACCAUCGCUGCCUGCUUGGCACCGGAGCUUGGAUGGGAAUUCUGUUUUUCGUGAGCAGGCUGAGCGGUCAGCACAUACCAUGAGCAACAGUCAGAGGAGCAAUAAAUAGCCUACCCAGACCAGAAGGAGACAACCUGUUCAGACUGGACCACUCAUCCCCUGUGCUGGACAGAAUAACUAUUGCUCUGUGUCAAGGUCUCAUGUGCUGAGGAGAGAAAGCCUCUGGCCAGGCCCAGCCUGCACCUAGCGGGUUCUCCAAGAGCAGCCAUGGUUACUGCUUCAACCAGCACGUCCCAGGGAUGUGGUAGGCAGCCAUCAGGAUUGUCUUUGUUCCAGUGAGAUGUUUCACUCCUGCUCCCAAAGACGUGCCAAGAGGCAGAUGCCAUUGCUGCAGGCUGGCUGUGGACUUCUCCUCCAGGGCUGGUUCCCAUUUGGGAUUGAACCCAACCGUACUUCUCCAUUCCAGUGAAAGACCCAGCUUUGCUCAUUCUCCAGAAAAAGGAGCACUUUGAAAAUGUUAAGGUUCCAUAACUCAUACCAGGAAAACCUUGUGUUCCCCAAUGAGGUUUCUUUGUGGUCUUAUACCACCCGUAAGACUGUGGGGAAGAGGAGAGGUCCCAAAUAGCCAGUGCAAGCCCAUCACUUAGCAUUUCCCCUUCUCCCUUUUAAAGUCUACAACGGGAGCAGGCAUGAAAGGCAUUCCUGCAGCUACGGGCCAGUGUUUCUUCCCAGUCACCUCCUGCUGAGCAACAAAUCUGGGAUAGCCAGGGGUUGUAAAGUCCUCUGAACCUGAAAAGUGCUAACCAAGAGAAUAAAGCACAACAAGAGUGUUAUUAAUAAAUGCCAGCUGCUGUUAUAUAACUCCUAA